rnacentral:rRNA from 1 species
CGCUGGCGNCAGGCUUAACACAAGCAAGUCGAGGCGGGCGUAGCAAUUCGUCAGCGGCNAGACGGGUGANUNNNGCGUGGGAANCGUNCNUUUUGGUUNNGAGCANCUGAGGGAAAACUUCAGCUAAUNCCGGGAUAAGCCCUUACGGGGAAAGAUUUAUCGCCGAAAGAUCGGCCCCGCGUNUGAUUAGCUAGUUGGUGAGGUAACGGCUCACCAAGGGCGACGAUCAGUAGNUGGUCUGAGAGGAUGAUCAGCCACAUUGGGACUGAGACACGGCCCAAACUCCUACGGGAGGCAGCAGUGGGGAAUAUUGGACAAUGGGCGCAAGCCUGAUCCAGCCAUGCCGCGUGAGUGAUGAAGGCCCUAGGGUUGUAAAGCUCUUUUGUGCGGGAAGAUAAUGACGGUACCGCAAGAAUAAGCCCCGGCUAACUUCGUGCCAGCAGCCGCGGUAAUACGAAGGGGGCUAGCGUUGCUCGGAAUCACUGGGCGUAAAGGGUGCGUAGGCGGGUCUUUAAGUCAGGGGUGAAAUCCUGGAGCUCAACUCCAGAACUGCCUUUGAUACUGAGGAUCUUGAGUUCGGGAGAGGUGAGUGGAACUGCGAGUGUAGAGGUGAAAUUCGUAGAUAUUCGCAAGAACACCAGUGGCGAAGGCGGCUCACUGGCCCGAUACUGACGCUGAGGCACGAAAGCGUGGGGAGCAAACAGG